rnacentral:lncRNA from 1 species
UAAUCGCGUAAGACUUGAGAAGAGAAUAAAAUAGGUGGUUAUAUGCAAAGAACAAAAAUAAACAUGCAAUGCAGUUGAUUCAAUUGGUUUUGAGAAACUAUGAAUGAAUGGUGUUUUUGGGGUUUACAAUUUCACCUUAUCCACUCUCAUAUAUCUACUCUUCUUAUUUACUUCACUUGUUUAUCUAAUCGCCAUGCAUACUUUCUUAUUUACCCUUAACCCAAUCCCUUCGUGAAAAGAGCCUCUUAUUAAUUACCGGCUUGUUAUCCCUAGCCUCCCCUGGUAACCAAUAAUGCAAUGCGAUCUGAAGCAAAUACAAUUGACCGUCCUACCCC